rnacentral:rRNA from 1 species
UUCUCCGGAUGAGUUGCGAACGGGUGAGUAACGCGUAGGUAACCUGCCUGGUAGCGGGGGAUAACUAUUGGAAACGAUAGCUAAUACCGCAUAAGAGUAGAUGUUGCAUGACAUUUGCUUGAAAGGUGCAAUUGCAUCACUACCAGAUGGACCUGCGUUGUAUUAGCUAGUUGGUGGGGUAACGGCUCACCAAGGCGACGAUACAUAGCCGACCUGUGAGGGUGAUCGGCCACACUGGGACUGAGACACGGCCCAGUCUCCUACGGGAGGCAGCAGUAGGGAAUCUUCGGCAAUGGACGGAAGUCUGACCGAGCAACGCCGCGCGAGUGAAGAAGGUUUUCGGAUCGUAAAGCUCUGUUGUAAGAGAAGAACGAGUGUGAGAGUGGAAAGUUCACACUGUGACGGUAUCUUACCAGAAAGGGACGGCUAACUACGUGCCAGCAGCCGCGGUAAUACGUAGGUCCCGAGCGUUGUCCGGAUUUAUUGGGCGUAAGGCGAGCGCAGGCGGUUAGAUAAGUCUGAAGUUAAAGGCUGUGGCUUAACCAUAGUACGCUUUGGAAACUGUUUAACUUGAGUGCAAGAGGGGAGAGUGGAAUUCCAUGUGUAGCGGUGAAAUGCGUAGAUAUAUGGAGGAACACCGGUGGCGAAAGCGGCUCUCUGACUUGUAACUGACGCUGAGGCUCGAAAGCGUGGGGAGCAAACAGGAUUAGAUACCCUGGUAGUCCACGCCGUAAACGAUGAGUGCUAGGUGUUAGACCCU